rnacentral:misc_RNA from 1 species
UCCGGCUUAACACCGGCAGUCUCCUUAAAGUUCCUGGUUUCCCAGUGGCAACUAAGGACAAGGGUUGCGCUCGUUACGGGACUUAACCCAACAUCUCACGACACGAGCUGACGACAGCCAUGCAGCACCUGUGCAGGGACUCCGAAGAGGGGACUCGGUUUCUCGAGUCUUUCCCCUGCAUGUCAAGCCCAGGUAAGGUUCUUCGCGUUGCGUCGAAUUAAACCACAUGCUCCACCGCUUGUGCGGGCCCCCGUCAAUUCCUUUGAGUUUCAGCCUUGCGGCCGUACUCCCCAGGCGGGGCACUUAAUGCGUUAGCGCCGGCACUCAGGGGGUCGCUCCCCCAAGCACCUAGUGCCCAUCGUUUACGGCGUGGACUAC